UGGUAGGACAAGUGUAUAGGGGGUAGCUGUCAAGGACACUUGGGGGGUUUUUUGGGGGGCAUCGGAAAAAAAGGAAGAAAAAACCCUCGAAGAGGCUUGAAAACAGGGGGAAGAGAAAAGAGCUAAAAACAGAGGGGCCAAGCAGCGGGCAAGGGGAAAAAACAGAGGCUAGACAAAACAAGGGGAAGCUGGGGGCUAAGAAUCUGAGGAAAAAAGGGAAAAAACACGGAGAAAAGGCCGAGGAGGGUGGCGGCUAAAAGGGAGAGCAAAAAGCAAAAAGGCUUGAGAGCUGAGAGGGCAGGGGCGGCGGAAUUGCCGAGCAGGGGCAAAAGAACAAAAACAGAAAAAUUUCGUCCGAGAGCAAAAGAAAGGAAAGCAGGAAAAAAGAGGAACCGGGCGGCGGGCUGAGCAUAAAUGGAAGAAACAAUCAACGAAAAACAGCAAAAGGGAAAAUAGGGGAGGUUUUGGCCAAAAAGAACAGAGCGACAUGAAGAAUAGAGGAAAAGUCCCCGGCCGCGAACGGAAGCAGAGGAAGAAAGCUUCAGCAAAAAUAAAGGGCAAAUUCGAAAAGCUUGUAGCUGCUGCCGUUCACUGGAAUCACCAUUGCUCGCCACCGCAUCAGCGGAAUUCACCGCUGCCGCUCGUGAAUCUUCACCGUGAGAAACGAUGUAAGCUAUUCUUUCCCUUUUACAUUUCAGUUUUUUUUUCUUCAAGAAUGAAUUUCAGAAGCAUGGCUGCCGUGGGUCUGUCAUCAUGAUUUUUUUUUUCUGUUGAGGGUCGGUAAUUUUGUUCGCAUAUGUUUUCUGCGUGUGUUGGACUGAAUUCCUUGCUUUUCUGAUAAUUUUGGGGCCGGUUGUAAUGUAAUUUAAGCAGAAAUCUGUUGAGUUUUUUCAUGCCCAUUUGCUGUUUGCUAAAAUGCCCGAAUGAACCUUCUACUUGAAGAUGAUUUCGUUUGCUUUACGUACGAAGAAAAUGGAACAUUCGGAUGGUUUUUGCUUGUCCGAACAUAAUGAACGAUUCUCCAUGAUAGAAGCUGUGUUGGUUCGUUGUUUUUUUUUUCUGUUUUUUUAUCUCUAUGCUUGAAUCCGAAUCGAUGUUGAGAGGGAGUAUUGUUGUGAGUUUCAUUGUUUGCUGGAAUGAUUGGAAUCGAAACCAAAUUUCUGGUUUUGCUAAUCGAAAGGAAAGCUGAAAUGCUUAACUGGUAUCAGCAAUGAAGAGGAAAGCCUCUGCGAAACAUGAGUGAAGAAAUGUCUAAAAUUGCAAUUUAAUCCCUCAUUUUCUGUCUCAUUUCAUUACGGCCCAAAAUCUGGAAAAAUCAAACUAAUUUUGCCCUUUUAAGCUUAUUCCUCUGUUUGCAUAUUUUAUGUGAUUUGUUGGAUAGAUUAAUUCUGGGAUUUGGAUUAUAAUUAUGGCCUAAUAAUUUUAGUUGAUUUGCUAAUCUUGUUAGGUUUGAUAUUAUGAUUUGGGUUGUGGGUAAUAAUAAUUUGUUUGGAUUUAUGAAAGUGGGUUUAGUUUAUUUUGUUUGGAUUUUUUGCUUGGGCUUAAGGGGGGCUAAAGCCCACUCUUUUGUUGGGUUUGUUUUAUUGAUAAGUAGAGGCCAGCCCACAUGUAGCCUCUGGGCUUUGUGGCAGGCUAAGGAGUCUUGGCCCAAACAAAUAGAGAGAAGGGCCCAAUGGCCUGUUAAGUCCAGUAGCCCAAUGACGAAAUUUCAUUCCAGUCCCCUGACUUUUGGAUAUUUUUACUGUGGCCCUAGACAUUUCCAUUCCUUUCAAUUGAGUCCCUGGUUUAAUUGCAAAUAGGCCCUUGAACUUUAUUUUUGUUUAAUUUUGGCCCCAAAAUUUUUUUCAAUCUUUGCAAUCAAGUCCUCUCUUCUCUUGACUUCUUAAAUGUGGUUUGUUGACAUGAUUUAAUUGAUUCAAAUUCAUGUUUAUUUUUAUCCUUUGUGAUUAUUUGCCAAAUAAAUUGGUGCCUUGACCAUUUCUUUUAUUUUGGAGGAUAAAUAAGUGAUUUCACUUCAGUGGGGCCCAAUUACAAGGGAGUGCAUGCACCGAUUGCUUCGUGGCCUAGUCCCAUUUGAUCCGAAAAUUGAAAGGACCGCUAGGAAGCCAAGAUGAAGUGUACGAUAACAACAACAACAAGGUGAAGAAAAUUCAAGGGAAGAAAGUGCAGGUGAGAUUUUGAUUGAGCAGUCUCUAAGAGAAACAAUGGAAGAAGAACGAGUAAAUCAGAACCAUCAAGCCUUAAGGGAGUUUGCAUUGUCGGAUAUUUCAGGAGAACAAACAAGUAUCGCAAGACUGGCAAUUAAUGCAAACAACUUUGAGAUUAAACCCUCCUUGAUUCAAAUGAUCCAACAAAAUCAAUUUGAAGGUCACUCAAUGGAGGAUCCAAAUGCUAACUCAGCUAAUUUUUCAAAAAUUUGUGAUACAAUCAAACUUAAUGGAGUAAGUGAUGAUGCUAUAAAGUUUAGAUUGUUUCCAUUUUCAUUGAUGAUGCAAAAAUGGACAAUGGGUGAAAGUGCUAAAUAAACAAGGUGAGGUUGAUUCAAUUUC